GACGAACGCUGGCGGCGUGCCUAAUACAUGCAAGUAGAACGCAGUGGCGAACGGGUGAGUAACGCGUAGGUAACUGCCUCAUAGAGGGGGAUAACUAUUGGAAACGAUAGCUAAUACCGCAUACUUUGAGAUGGACUUGCCUUGUAUUUGCUAGGUGGUGAGGUAAAGGCCCACCAAGGCGACGAUACAUAGCCGACCCGAGAGGGGGGUCGGCCACACUGGGAAUGAGAACAGGGCCCGGAUCCUUAGGGAGGGCGGAGGAGGGAAUCCUUGAGAAUGGACGGAAGGCUGACCGAGCAAAGCCGCGUGAGGGAAGAAGGUUUUUGGAUUCUAAAGCUUUGUUGAUAGAGAAGCGGUACCUAAUCAGAAAGCGACGGCUAACUACGUGCCAGCAGCCGCGGUAAUAC
rnacentral:rRNA from 1 species